CGGCUUCUCAUUGGCUGACCAGGUAGAAUUGAGAGAAGAUGCCUGGAAACCUUAUAAACCAGAAAACAGGACUUCUGCUCUGAGCUCAACAUGCUCCCUUGCAGACUCACCUUAGAGGAUCAACCAGAACGGGACGAGACAGCAGGUUUGUUUCUGCUUUGACCUAUGCAUCAUGGUUUCAAAGAAUUAAGCUAAUUUUCCAUUGCUAUACAAAAAUCACUAGGGACUUGAAGGGCACCUCAGGUGUUUAGCACUUGUACAUUAUACACAAGGCUCUGGCUUGGAUCCUCACUAGAAAUAAAUAAAAAGAAUGGUUAGUUAUAAAUGGGGGGGGGGGGGUUGUAACUUAAAAAGCAGGAAAGCAUGAAGAAGGAAGUGUGCCUCCCACUGGUUCCUACCUCAGCCACACCCCUAAAAGCUGAGCAUUUGGAUUUUGGGUAAACCUCAAGCUUAAUUGUCAGAUCAAAGUACUCACUCCCAAGCUGAGAAGGACUGAGAUGCUCUAAGGUCUAAGGGUUCCACACCCUGAGGUUUAAUACAAUGCUCCUGCUGCAGUGACUUCCCUACACUGAUGGACUGGAACCUGGAACUGUGAGCUGAACUAUAUUCUCAGCAACAAGAGAAACUCCGCACAGCUCCCAGGAAGGUGAGCAGCACCCCUGACUGUCAUGAGGCAUUUUCAUUACCUAUCCAGUUGUUAGGAAGAUCGUCUUUUUCUUCAAGUUAAUAUUGUUUUCUUUACUAAAUCUUACUGCGUAAAAAUUAACCACUUUAAAAUGUAUAAUUCAGUAGCAUUUGGUG
rnacentral:lncRNA from 1 species